UUGGGUGACGAGUGGCGGACGCGGUUGAGUAAUGUCUGGGAAACUGCCCGAUGGAGGGGGAUAACUACUGGAAACGGUAGCUAAUACCGCAUAACGUCGCAAGACCAAAGUGGGGGACCUUCGGGCCUCACACCAUCGGAUGUGCCCAGAUGGGAUUAGCUAGUAGGUGGGGUAAUGGCUCACCUAGGCGACGAUCCCUAGCUGGUCUGAGAGGAUGACCAGCCACACUGGAACUGAGACACGGUCCAGACUCCUACGGGAGGCAGCAGUGGGGAAUAUUGCACAAUGGGCGCAAGCCUGAUGCAGCCAUGCCGCGUGUAUGAAGAAGGCCUUCGGGUUGUAAAGUACUUUCAGCGAGGAGGAAGGCAUUAAGGUUAAUAACCUUGGUGAUUGACGUUACUCGCAGAAGAAGCACCGGCUAACUCCGUGCCAGCAGCCGCGGUAAUACGGAGGGUGCAAGCGAUAAUCGGAAUUACUGGGCGUAAAGCGCACGCAGGCGGUCUGUCAAGUCGGAUGUGAAAUCCCCGGGCUCAACCUGGGAACUGCAUUCGAAACUGGCAGGCUAGAGUCUUGUAGAGGGGGGGUAGAAUUUCCAGGUGUAUCGGUGAAAU
rnacentral:rRNA from 1 species